rnacentral:rRNA from 1 species
GACGAACGCUGGCGGCGUGCCUAAUACAUGCAAGUAGAACGCUGGAGGAGGAGCUUGCUUCUCUGGAUGAGUUGCGAACGGGUGAGUAACGCGUAGGUAACCUGCCUGGUAGCGGGGGAUAACUAUUGGAAACGAUAGCUAAUACCGCAUAAUAUUGACUAUUGCAUGAUAGUCAGUUGAAAGGUGCAACUGCACCACUACCAGAUGGACCUGCGUUGUAUUAGCUAGUUGGUGGGGUAACGGCUCACCAAGGCGACGAUACAUAGCCGACCUGAGAGGGUGAUCGGCCACACUGGGACUGAGACACGGCCCAGACUCCUACGGGAGGCAGCAGUAGGGAAUCUUCGGCAAUGGACGGAAGUCUGACCGAGCAACGCCGCGUGAGUGAAGAAGGGUUUCGGAUCGUAAAGCUCUGUUGUAAGAGAAGAACGAGUGUGAGAGUGGAAAGCUCACACUGUGACGGUAUCUUACCAGAAAGGGACGGCUAACUACGUG